CCGCAAGGCGUGGCAUACGGCUCAGUAACACGUAGUCAACAUGCCCAAAGGACGUGGAUAACCUCGGGAAACUGAGGAUAAACCGCGAUAGGCCAAGGUUUCUGGAAUGAGCCAUGGCCGAAAUCUAUAUGGCCUUUGGAUUGGACUGCGGCCGAUCAGGCUGUUGGUGAGGUAAUGGCCCACCAAACCUGUAACCGGUACGGGCUUUGAGAGAAGUAGCCCGGAGAUGGGCACUGAGACAAGGGCCCAGGCCCUAUGGGGCGCAGCAGGCGCGAAACCUCUGCAAUAGGCGAAAGCCUGACAGGGUUACUCUGAGUGAUGCCCGCUAAGGGCAUCUUUUGGCACCUCUAAAAAUGGUGCAAAAUAAGGGGUGGGCAAGUCUGGUGUCAGCCGCCGCGGUAAUACCAGCACCCCGAGUUGUCGGGACGAUUAUUGGGCCUAGAGCAUCCGUAGCCGGUUCUAUAAGUCCUCCGUUAAAUCCACCUGCUCAACAGAUGGGCUGCGGGGGAUACUACAGAGCUAGGAGGCGGGAGAGGCAAACGGUACUCAGUGGGUAGGGGUAAAAUCCAUUGAUCUACUGAAGACCACCAGUGGCGAAGGCGGUUUGCCAGAACGCGCUCGACGGUGAGGGAUGAAAGCUGGGGGAGCAAACCGGAUUAGAUACCCGGGUAGUCCCAGCUGUAAACGAUGCAGACUCGGUGAUGGGUUGGCUUCGCGCCAACCCAGUGCCGCAGGGAAGCCGUUAAGUCUGCCGCCUGGGGAGUACGGUCGCAAGACUGAAACUUAAAGGAAUUGGCGGGGGAGCACCACAAGGGGUGAAGCCUGCGGUUCAAUUGGAGUCAACGCCGGA
rnacentral:rRNA from 1 species